rnacentral:rRNA from 1 species
CCUACGGGAGGCAGCAGUGAGGAAUCUUUGUCAAUGGCCGAGAGGCUGAACCAGCCAAGUCGCGUGAGGGAAGACGGCCCUACGGGUUGUAAACCUCUUUUGUCGUGGAGCAAAGAGAGUCACGUGUGACUCAUUGAGAGUACCCGACGAAAAAGCAUCGGCUAACUCCGUGCCAGCAGCCGCGGUAAUACGGAGGAUGCGAGCGUUAUCGGGAUUUAUUGGGUUUAAAGGGUGGGCAGCUGGAGGUGAAAGUCAGCGGUCAAAUUGCGGGGCUCAACCCCGUACUGCCGUUGAAACUGCAUCCCUUGAGUGCGCGAGAGGUAAGCGGAAUGCGUGGUGUAGCGGUGAAAUGCGUAGAUAUCGCGCGGAACUCCGAUGGCGAAGGCAGCAUACCGGCGCGCAACUGACGCGCAGGCACGAAAGCGUGGGUAUCGAACAGGAUUAGAUACCCGUGUAGUC